rnacentral:rRNA from 1 species
GACGAACGCUGGCGGCGUGCUUAACACAUGCAAGUCGAACGGUGAAGCUCCAGCUUGCUGGAGUGGAUCAGUGGCGAACGGGUGAGUAACACGUGAGCAACCUGCCCCAGACUCUGGAAUAAGCGCUGGAAACGGCGUCUAAUACUGGAUACGAGAUCAAGCCGCAUGGUUAUGGUCUGGAAAGUUUUUCGGUUUGGGAUGGGCUCGCGGCCUAUCAGCUUGUUGGUGAGGUAAUGGCUCACCAAGGCGACGACGGGUAGCCGGCCUGAGAGGGCGACCGGCCACACUGGGACUGAGACACGGCCCAGACUCCUACGGGAGGCAGCAGGGGGGAAUAUUGCACAAUGGGCGAAAGCCUGAUGCAGCGACGCCGCGUGAGGGAUGACGGCCUUCGGGUUGUAAACCUCUUUCAGCAGGGAAGAAGCGAAAGUGACGGUACCUGCAGAAGAAGCACCGGCUAACUACGUG